GUCAAAGUUUGUGAUGAUAAAAGCACAGCACGCUUAGAUCCGAAAGCGUGGCCAGUUUCAUUAUCUUUCAUUAAUACUAACCUGUCAAUUUCAAACAGGCGAAUUGGGUAGUCGAAGCUGGCCUUUUGGUGAGCCAAAAAGUGAUUCACGAUUUGUAUGGGACCUUGGCGUAUUUAAUUUGUAUUUGGUACUACCAACGACACGACUAGACACUGGCAUUCCAAAACUGUAUCACAAAUCUGACUACCCCCCAGUGACUCAGUUACCGUAGCAACCCUUCGAUAUGUAAGUGAAAAUUUUGUGACAUCAAAACAAACCCAUAAUUUUAAACAAGUGUGAAGUAAAAAGUGUAAAAACGAUGAAAAACUUGGAAUAAAAUGGUUGGCGGACCCAGAUUUUCUGGUACACUAUCGUACCCGACUAGUAUCGGAAUGGAUAUCGAGAGUGAGUCGGCAAAUUUGGCCGAGAACAUCAACCACUGAACUACUACAGUAAUCGCCAAUCCAGAAUACAAAAUACGGCGCAAACAUCAAGUGCAUGUUCUGCGAUUUCAACACUCAGUAUUUAACACAAUUCCAACCCUACAACCAUGACCUCAUCACCCGAAUAUCGCCGUAAGCUGUUUGAAGCAAUAACAUGCUAUUGAUUAUUGCACAUCAAAAUCCUGUUGCGCAGCUAACAGAAAUUAAGAGAAUCGAUCAGAAUGGUUUAGGAACGACGGUAACGAAACCAAUACAACUUUAUCACAGCUUUUGAAAAACAAAAUUACCACCACUAUUCGAAACGUGCGAACAUGCUUCGAUUCAUACGAAAAAUCAACCUUAUUUUCGAGACACUAAAACGUUAAAAAGCAAGUCUCGGUACAGGAGCAGACUAAGAUGGGGUCUGCGAAUUCGACCAUGCGGAAAAGCGGCGGACACGAAUGGCGCAAAGAACUUAUUGUCCCACACGGCGCUUUUGGACCGACUAUCACGAUUAGCUUUAGUAUCUCGGGUGUAGAUAUGGAAAACAUCCACACAGAUGGCCUGUGUUAAGCCAAAGAGGACCAAGCGCCAUUUAGAGGUACCUUCCUAAAAAUCGCUAUCGCAGCUAAUGUAGAACUAUAAACACCUGCAUCAAUUUAUUUCUGAGAACUCAAAUAGUAAUCGAUAGCAAAUAAGUACCUUUUAACUGUCUAUGAUAAUGGUUAAAAAAAUUAUUUUUUUCAUUAAAAAUACCAGGAAAAAAUUAUGGCGCUCAGUUCGCCGUGGCUUAACGCAGGUCAGAUGUCCUCUAGGUCAUCCCCAGCCAGGAUAAUGCCACUUGUAGUAUCACGUACAGCAUUACGUUGGCUGAUCAAGGGCAGCAGAGACAUACGUACAUUUAGCAGCAGUAUUAGAAUCAGAUUAAGCAGCACUAAGUAAUACCCGUAAUUUAUUACCGUAAACAUCAUUUAAUUAAAAUACAU